rnacentral:lncRNA from 1 species
UUUUUUUUUUUUUUUUUUUUUUUGCUUUUUAGGGCCACACCCAUGGCAUAUGGAGGUUCCCAGGCUAGGGGUCAAAUUGGAGCUGUUGCCGCUGGCCGACACCACUGCCACAGCAGUACCAGAUCCAAGCUACCUCUGCGACCUACACCACAGCUCACGGCAGCACCAGAUCCUUGACCCCCUGAGCGAGGCCAGGAGUUGAACCCACAACUUCAUGGUUCCUAGUCGGGCUUGUUUCCACUGCACCACAACAGGAACUUCUCUUUGGGGAUUUUUUUUGCUUUUUAGAGCCCCACCCACAGCAUAUGGAGGGUCCCAGGCUAGGGGUCUAAUCAGAGCUACAGCUGCUGGCCUACACCACAGCUCAUGGUAAUGCCGGAUCUUUAAUCCACUGAGUGAGGCCAGGGAUCGAACCCAAAACCUCAUGGUUACUAGUUGGAUUUGUUUCCACUGCACCAUGAUGGGAACUCCUGAGGGCUUUUUGUUGUUGUUGUUUUGGUUUUUUUUUUUUUCUGGCUGCACCUAUAGCAUGAGGUAGUUCCCAAGGGAGGGAUUAAACCUGAGCCACAAUAGUGGCAACACCAGAUCCCUAACCACUAGGCCACCAGGGAACUCCCUACAGUUGACUCUUGAACAGUGAAAGGGGGUUGGGGCACCAAUACUCCCAUGCAGCAGAAAAACUAUGUAUAACUUUACACUCAGCCCUCCAUAUCCUUGGUUCCUCCGUAUCUGUGCAUUCAACCAACCUCACAUCAUGCGGUACUGUAGUAUUUACUGAAAAAAAAAAACUCCAUAUAAGCCGACUCACUCAAUUCAAACCUGUGUUUGAAGAGCAAAUAGUAUAUCUUUUUUCUUUUUGUCUUUUCAGGGCCAUGCUCACGGCACAUGGAGGUUCCCAGGCUAGGAAUCUAAUCGGAGCUGUAGCUGCUGACCUAUACCACAGCCACAGCAACACCAGAUCUGAGCCUCAUUUGCAAACUGCACCACAGCUCACGGCAAUGCUGGAUCCUUAACCCACUGAGCAAGGCCAGGGAUCGAACCUGCAACGUCAAGGUUCCUAGUCGGAUUCGUUUCUGCUGCGCCAGGACAGGAACUCCAAUUAUUUUCAUACUUAAAAAAAAGCCGGUGUGGGAGUUCCCGUCACGGCUCCCAUCUCAAAUUCGACCAAUCACAUUUCAAGAUCUCAGUGGCUAGCGGCCACCACACCGGACAGCACAGCUCUGUGGCAUCUAUAGAACCUGUAGCAGACACCUGUUUCUUUUCUUCCUAAGCGCACACACUUUUCCAACCUCCAUUCCAGUUAUAUGUGGACAUGGGACAGAGCGCUCACCAAUGGACUGAUACACGACACUUCCAGGCCUGGCCCCUAAGUCUCUCACACAAUCCUCCGCUCUCUCUCCUUCCCCAUCUACCAGCUGCCAGGUGAGACCUCCAAGGGCUCAGAGGAAUGCAGAGCUGCAAAAUGGAAGUUGCCUGGGUCCAUGAAUGACCAAUAAUAAAUAUUCCCAACAGCUUUUGUAUAAGUAGAAAAUCAACAUGUAUCUGUGAAGCCUCUGAGGGGCUGGGUUUUAUAGCAGCUGACAUAAUUUAGCCCAAUUCAUAAAACCACUUGGCUGAAUCUCACCAAGAACACCUGAUCCAGGAGUUCCCGUCGUGGCUCAGUGGUUAACGAAUCCAACUAGGAACCAUGAGGUGGCGGGUUUGGUCCCUGGCCUUGCUCAGUGGGUUAAAGACCUGGCAUUGCCGUGAGCUGUGGUGCAGGUCGCAGACACAGCUCGGAUCCCAUGUGGCUAUGGCUGUGGCGUAAGCUGGUAGCUACAGCUCCGACUUGACCCCUAGCCUGGGAACCUGCAAAUGCCACGGAAGUGGCCCAAGAAAUGGCAAAAAAAAAAAAAAACAAAAAACCCUGAUCCUAACGUCUACACGAACUCAACUCUGAACUGGUACAGAAAACACCUGUGCUGACUCUGAACUGGGCUCCCUGAUCACUUCAUAGGAACUUGUCAUAAUUCAGUUUAAGGAGCUCCAUCCUGAAUUUGUAUGAGAACUCCUAGUCUGGAGCUCCCUAGACGCAACUGGUUUGUCCUGUCUAGAACCCUUGCUUGGUUCAGUAGAGGAACAAUACUAUAGAAACUAUAGGCAUCCCUAUCCUCACUCGGCCCAGGAACAUUUGCUUGACCCCAUACAAGAACACCAGAAAUGACCUGACCUUAUCCAUCAAUCCCUGUCCUCACACCUCACACAAAAGGAAUACCGUAAGUCAACUAUAAUGGAAAAAAAGUCAUAAAAAUAGGAAUACCUCUCCUCAGGAAACAUAGAACCUCUGCAUUCAUCCUAGAAAAGAAUCCCAGACAGAUAAAACCAAAGACUGACACUCUAUAACCAGGAUCAGCACACUCCAGCCCUUCAGGUCAAAGCCAGACUGCAGCCUGUUUUCACACGUGGAAGUUCCCGGGCCAGGAACUGAACCUGCACCACAGCAACAACCCAAGCCACUGCAGGGACAAUGCAGGAUCCUUAGCCCACUGCACCACAAGAGAAAUCCUGUUUUCACAUUUUUGAAGAGAAAGAAAGAAAAUGGGCAACAGGAGUUCCUGUCAUGGCUCAGAGGAAAUGAAUCUGACUAGUAUCCAUGAGGAUGCAAGUUCAAUCCCUGGCCUCACUCAGUGGGUUAAGGAUCCCGUGUUGCACUGAGCUGUGGUGUAGGUUACAGAUGCGGCUUGGAUCUGGUGUGGCUGUGGCUGUGGUGUAGGCCAGCGGCUACAGCUCCAAUUCAACCCUUAGUUAGAACUUCCAUGUGCCAUGGGUAUGGGCUAAAAAGCAAAAAAAAAAGAAAGAAAAGAAAGGGGGGAGUUCCCGUCAUGGCACAGUGGAAACGAAUCCGACUAGGAACCAUGAGGUCGCAGGUUCGAUCUCUGGCCUCACUCACUGGAUUAAGGAUCCCUCGUUGCCAUGAGCUGUGGUGUAGGUCGCAGUCGCGGCUCGGAUCUGGCGUUGCUGUGGCUGUGGCAUAGGCCAGCACCUGUACCUCCAAUUAGACCCAUAGCCUGGGAAGUUCCAUAUGCCGUGGGUGUGGCCCUAAAAGACAAAAGGCAAAAAGAAAAAAACAGACAAACAAAAAAAGAAAAUGGGAAUGAAAGAGAUACUGGGCGCCAUGGGGUGGGAGAGAGUUGGGAGGGCGCAUUGUGGGGGGGGGCGCAACUCCCCCCUACCCAUACACUUUCUAUUCCAGCUUGCGUGCAGAGGUUACCCACUGGAGGGAGCAGACAGGAAGAGCUGUCACCCAAGAAAAACUCCCCUCCCAAGGUCCAUUCUGACUCCCCGGCACUAUUAUCACAAUUUCCCAGAGGAGGAAACUGAAAGGAAAUAAGAAGGAAAAGAAAAAAAGAAAGGGAAACAAAAAAAGGAAAGGAGGAGUUUCCUGGCGGCCUAGUGGUUAAGGAUUUGGCAUAGUCACUGUGGCUGUGGCUCAAGAUCCAUCUCUGGCUUGGGAACUUCUGUGUGCCAUGGAAAGGCAAAAGAAAGAAAAGGAAAGAAAAGGGAAGGUGUUCCCGUCAUGGCUCAGCAGAAACGAAUCUGACUAGCAUCCACGAGGACGCAGGUUCAAUCCCUUGCCUGGCUCAGUGGGUUAAAGGAUUCGGCAUUGCACUGAGCUCUGGUGUAGGUCUCAGACACGGCUCCAAACUGGUGUGGCUGUGGCUGUGGCUGUGGUGUAGGCCGGCAGCUACAGCUCCGACUGGACCCCUAGCCUAGGAACCUCCAUAUGCUGCGAGUGCAGCCCUAAAAAAAGAAGAUGAAGAAAAGAAAAGAGAAAGUGAAAGAAAGAAAAGGAAGGAAGAAAAUGCCCCAGAGGCCAGUAUGUGGCCUGCAAAACCUAAAAUAUUUACUAUCUGGCCCUUUACAGAAAAAGUUUGCCAACCUUUGUUGUACAGAAACCUCCCUUCUGACUAUACAAAAAAAGUGGGUCUUGGCCCUUACAAGACUCCCUACUCUUUCACUUUGCAAGCAUCACCUCAGAACGUUCCUCUGUGUUUAUCACUGCAUAUACAUGUUUUCUCUGGCGUACGUGGAGGUGUAAAGGUCUUUUAGCUGCGACCCUCUUCCACUGGGACAAAAGACACGUUCAGGUAGGAAAAGAGUGGAAGGGAAGACUAGGUUGAAACGGGUUUGCAAGAGUGUCAGAGGGCCCAGCUACUGGGCGGUGGGGCUGUCAAUCUGUUGGUUAGUCAGCGAUGCUGAACCCCAGACCCCUUAUCUCUCCCGCCCCAGCCUACAGCCCGGUAGGAAAUGGUGAAGAAUGAGAGAGGGAGAUUAGGAGGACAAACCGGCCUCCUGCGAGGCUGAUAUUCAGACAUUUAGCCAUGGGGUGGGAGAGAGUUGGGAGGGCGCAUUGUGGGGGGGGGCGCAACUCCCCCCUACCCAUACACUUUCUAUUCCAGCUUGCGUGCAGAGGUUACCCACUGGAGGGAGCAGACAGGAAGAGCUGUCACCCAAGAAAAACUCCCCUCCCAAGGUCCAUUCUGACUCCCCGGCACUAUUAUCACAAUUUCCCAGAGGAGGAAACUGAAGCACAGAGUCGUUCAGUAACUUGCCCAAAGUCACAUGGCUAAGUCCCAUAACCUCAGUUUCCUUAUCUGCAAAGCAGCCUUAGUACUGGGAAGUACCUCAUAGAACUGUGGCUUACGACAAUGCCUGUCACAUACAACUUGCUAUCGUCACGAUCAUUCCCCCUUCCAUUCCACCAUCCAUUUUCGCGGCAGACUAUUAAUAGCUAACAUUUGGUGAGUGCUUCCUUGCGUACCACCUUAGUGAAUAUGAACUCAGAAAAUUCUCACAUAUGUCAUCAUCACCACUCCCUUUUUGGCCGCCACCAGCCUCGUCCAAUUUCCACCGCGCUCC